GUUCCCGUACGAUCAGCAAAGCUAAUCAACGUCGAGCCUGAUCAGUACCUAGAUGGGUGACCACUUAGGAAUACCAGGUGUUGUAAG